rnacentral:rRNA from 1 species
ACGCUCGACACCUACGGGAGGUAGCAGUGGGGAAUAUUGCACAAUGGGGGAAACCCUGAUGCAGCGACGCCGCGUGAGCGAAGAAGUAUUUCGGUAUGUAAAGCUCUAUCAGCAGGGAAGAAACUGACGGUACCUGACUAAGAAGCACCGGCUAAAUACGUGCCAGCAGCCGAGGUAAUCUGAGCGGGCUGGCAAGGC